rnacentral:lncRNA from 1 species
AAACAGAGCUACAGGGGAAGCAGUCACUCACCUAGUUCUGACUCACAGUCCUUUGCACGCCUGACUGGCAGUGAUUCUGUUUGGCGCCCUGCACACUCCGGUGAGCCUGGCCCACGAGGCCACCUCCCGCCAAAGCUGCCCACUGAGAUGCCGGGGCCUCUGCGCGUCUUUAAACGGCAAGUAAACCUCCAGGGACGCGACCGCCGCCAUCAGCUCUGGUCUCCACCUAGAGCACGUCUGCUCUCCCUUCCAGAAGCCGGAAAUAUUUAAAGAUCUGGCCAUGGCAAUUACAAAGAGUUUGACCUGAAACAAAGAGGCUGCCAGAUAUUUCUCCAGCAAAGGUGGGUUUAUUCAGGGUCAGCAGAGAAUUACAAUUUGGGAUCUGCAACCAUGGGGAGCCACAUGCAAAUAUCCACACAGCAAAAGAAAGGGAGAAGAAGGACGUUGGGAGGGUGUGGGUAACCAAGAGUCCAUGGCUUUUCAUUGGCUGAGUCCUUGCCAGGAAAGAAGAGGAGUUUUCUUCCUAUUGGGCUUUGCAGUUGUCACUGGACAUGAGAGCUCCCCCUGCUGGUCUCCCACCUCCAUCUAGUUGAGGUUUCUGUUCAUUAAUUUUUUUAUAGCUUUAUCUGGCCGCCCUCCCCACACCAGACUUGGUGCACAGCCGGUGCAUUGCAGUCUCUGAAGGGAAUUGCAUUUGAUGACACAGGCUGCCUGUGCUCUUUUGUGUAUCUGCAUUCCUAGUUCACUUACCUGUGGGGCCUCUUUAUGGGGGAGUCUUGGCAGAGGCCUUCCUCAGCCAUUUGCACGGAAACCCCUUUGUUGGGAAGAGGGGAGGGAGCCUUGAGGCCACACACUGACUCAGCACUCGGAACCAGCCCUCCUACUCCUGCCCCUAGCUUCCAGAUCGUUAAACUUGCAGGAGCUUUCUGAUCAGGGCUCCUUCAGCAGGGAGACAACCCCUGCAUCUGUGCUAAGCCACCUGACCCGUAACCAAUGCACUGUUACACACAAGAAAAAGGAAUGGAGGAAUCAAGGCUUUCUCCUGUUAGCUUCUUGCUUGUGCUAUGACAGUAAGUGAUUAAAGACUUGAUUGCUCUUCUCAUUUUGCUUUGCUGUCGUAAUAGACACGGCAACAUCUGGCAGCUCAGCCCUGCCUAGCUCAGCUGCGCUCCUGACACCUUGACUUUGAAAGGUAUGUUUAUUAUGAAUAGAAUUCUGGGCUGACAGUUUUGAGAUUCACAACUGGAAAGAUGUUACACCUUUAUCUUCCAGCUUGUGCUUUGUGACACACAGUCCUUAUCUUUAGUCCUCUGAUUUAAUGUCUUUGCUUUCUGGAGGUCGUCAGGAUUUUAUCGUUGACUGUCCACUGUUCAAGCAUGAUGACUUUGGAUCUGCAGACAGAGUUGUUGUUUGGUUGGUUAGUUGGGGCUUUGUUGUCUGUACUGAUCAUUAUUUAUUCUGCCUGAACUUUUCCAAACACGGACCUUCAGUGUGAUAAUCUUUCAUUGUUUUUGGAAAAUUCUCAAUCAUUAGCUUUUCAAGUGUUUCCUCUAGCUUGUUCUCUAUUUCUUCUCAUUGUGGGAUUCCACUUACAUUUGUUUGUCAUAAUGAAAAAAAAAUCUAAUGGCUGCUGAAGUUAUUGUGCCAAUAUUUUGUUUUAAUUCUUAUAUCUACAUUCAUGGGUGAAAAGUCACUCUAAUGUGCCUUUCUUAUCCUGUCUUUAUCCGGCUCUGUUGUCAAGUUAAACUAUCUUCACAGGAUAAAUCGAGAUGUGGUUCCCUUCUUUCUAUAUUGAAACAUUGUGUAAAGGAUUGGAAUUAAUUCUACUCUGAAUUUAUUGGUGAAUUGCCUAUAUAACUUAUUGUACUUGUGUUUCCUCUAAGAGAUGAUAUUUUUGAAGUUUCAUUAAUCAUUAUAGGAUUAGUUAGUUUUUAUUCAUUCUUGAUAUAGUUGUUGCUUUUUUUUUUUUGUCUUUUUAAGGCCAUACUUGCAGCACAUGGAGGUUCCCAGGGGGAAUCAGAGCUAUAGCCAUCAGCCUACACCACAGACACAGCAACUGCCAGAUCCAAGCCGUGUCUGCAAGCUACACCAUAGCCCACAGCAAUUCUGGAUCCUUAACCCACCGAGCAAAGCCGGGGAUUGAACCUGUGUCCUUAUGGAUGCUAGUUAGAUCUGUUUCCACUGAACCAUGAUGGGAACUACUAAUCUUGAUAUACUCUUGAUAUAUUUCUCAAACAUUCAUUUCAUCUAAGAUGUUGAAUAUAAAUUACCUGCUGGUAGUCUCACAUUAUGUUUUAAUUUCUACUGGAUUAGUACAUGUGUAUUUGUAAAAUUCUCUUUUCCAAGAACUGUCUUUUGACUUUGAUUCUCGCCAUUUUACCUUUGUUUUCUUUCUGGGUUUGUUUGUUUUGUUUUGUUUUGUUUUGUUUUUUGUCUUUUUGCCAUUUCUUGGGCCGCUCCCACGGCAUAUGAAGGUUCCCAGGCUGGGGGUCCAAUCGGAGCUGUAGCCGCCGGCCUACGCCAGAGCCACAGCACCUUGGGAUCCAAGCCGCACCUGCAACCUACACCACAGCUCACGGCAACACUGGAUCCUUAACCCACUGAGCAAGGCCAAGGAUCAAACCCGCAACCUCAUGGUUCCUUGUCGGAUUCGUUAACCACUGAGCCACAACGGGAACUCCUACCUUUGUUUUCUUAAUCAUUUUCAUUGGUCUCCCUUGUUUUCUUAAUCUACUCUCAGUGCCUUCCCACUACUUUAUCUGGCGUAAUUUUGUUGUAUGUUUCUUACCAUCUUUAUUUGAACUUACUCUGCGGUCUCUACUCCUAAUGUAAUAACCCGUAAGUAUAUGUUAAAAUCUACAAACCCCCCAAUUUUUUGAUAUAUGAUUCAUUUAUAGUCAUUAAUAUUUUAAUCAUUAUGAGUUUUUUCUUUGACCCAUGGGUUAUUAUUAAAUGUGCCUUUCACUUGCAGAUAUAUUAGGGAUUAAACUCAUCUUAACUUCCAGUUGCGUGGUGGGCAAUAAACAUGAUCUGUAAUGAUGGCUGUUUUUUUAAA